ACGGCUCAGUAACACGUAGUCAACAUGCCCAGGGGACGUGGAUAACCUCGGGAAACUGAGGAUAAACCGCGAUAGGCCAAGGCUUCUGGAAUGAACCAUGGCUGAAACCUACAUGGCCCCUGGAUUGGACUGCGGCCGAUCAGGCUGUUGGUGAGGUAAUGGCCCACCAAACCUGUAACCGGUACGGGCUUUGAGAGAAGGAGCCCGGAGAUGGGCACUGAGACAAGGGCCCAGGCCCUAUGGGGCGCAGCAGGCGCGAAAACUCUGCAAUAGGCGAAAGCUUGACAGGGUUACUCUGAGUGAUGCCCGCUAAGGGCAUCUUUUGGCACCUCUAAAAAUGGUGCAGAAUAAGGGGUGGGCAAGUCUGGUGUCAGCCGCCGCGGUAAUACCAGCACCCCGAGUGGUCGGGACGAUUAUUGGGCCUAAAGCAUCCGUAGCUUGUUCUGCAAGUCCUCCGUUAAAUCCACCUGCUCAACAGAUGGGCUGCGGGAGAUACUACAGGGCUAGGAGGCGGGAGAGGCAAGCGGUACUCAGUGGGUAGGGGUAAAAUCCUCUGAUCCACUGAAGACCACCAGUGGCGAAGGCGGCUUGCCAGAACGCGCUCGACGGUGAGGGAUGAAAGCUGGGGGAGCAAACCGGAUUAGAUACCCGGGUAGUCCCAGCUGUAAACGAUG
rnacentral:rRNA from 1 species